rnacentral:rRNA from 1 species
AGUGAACGCUGGCGGUAGGCCUAACACAUGCAAGUCGAACGGCAGCACAGUAAGAGCUUGCUCUUACGGGUGGCGAGUGGCGGACGGGUGAGGAAUACAUCGGAAUCUACUUUUUCGUGGGGGAUAACGUAGGGAAGCUUACGCUAAUACCACAUACGACCUACGGGUGAAAGCAGGGGAUCUUCGGACCUUGCGCGAUUGAAUGAGCCGAUGUCGGAUUAGCUAGUUGGCGGGGUAAAGGCCCACCAAGGCGACGAUCCGUAGCUGGUCUGAGAGGAUGAUCAGCCACACUGGAACUGAGACACGGUCCAGACUCCUACGGGAGGCAGCAGUGGGGAAUAUUGGACAAUGGGCGCAAGCCUGAUCCAGCCAUACCGCGUGGGUGAAGAAGGCCUUCGGGUUGUAAAGCCCUUUUGUUGGGAAAGAAAAGCAGCAGGUUAAUACCCCGCUGUUCUGACGGUACCCAAAGAAUAAGCACCGGCUAACUUCGUG